rnacentral:misc_RNA from 1 species
UUUCCGUAGGUGAACCUGCGGAAGGAUCAUUAACGAGUUAGGGUCUUCUAGGCCCGACCUCCCAACCCUUUGUUUACUGAACCAUUGUUGCCUCGGUGGGUCCGUCUUACGACCGCCGGGGGAUCGCCGCGAGGCGCCCCCUGGCCAGCGCCCACCGAUAGCCCAACCUUUAAAACCCUUUGUGAAUCGUGUCUUAUGUCUAAAUUUAUGAUUAAACAAUCAGAACAAAACUUUCAACAACGGAUCUCUUGGUUCUG